AUCGGACACGAAGAAUAAGAAUUUAAGCGAGAGCUGACUUUCCAGGUGAAAAGGAAAGAAAAAAAAAGAGGGGAAAGAGAAUAAAAAAGAUUGCUUGCUGUGCGUCCUUUCGUACGUUUCUCACAGCUACCUGCCAUCUCGGUAUAUCAAUGUAUAUAACUGUUUAUGUGUGUGUGUGUGUUUGUGUGUGUGCCUAAGUAUAAUCGUCCUCCUCUACCAUAGAAUCGUCAGAGACUCGACCUCAGCACCGUCUCGACGCGACUACAGGAAUCGAGGGCAGGACUCUCGAGAUCGCUUCGUUCCUGUACGAACGGGGUCGUCCUCUCGUCGUAGUUAGGCAGAACUUCCGAAUAAAGAUCCAGAGAAAAGGAAUCAUCAUCGUUUCAGCUUCAGAACUCAAACUGCGCGGCCACUUUAUCGCUCGACCAACCAACCAAUCAACGAAUCAAUCAACCUAUCAACCAACCAACCAAUGAACCAAUCAACCAACGAAUCAACCAACGAACGUAUGAACGAACGAACGAACCAACCAACGAAUGAACCGAAUGCGACCGACCGCGACCGACCGAGCCUCGGCCGAGUAAGUUAUAUAGUAUGCUCCCUUUGCUCGGUAAAACAGUGAUCUACUACUACGGUCAUGUAGUAGAAGAGCUCGAAAUCAUCCACAGAUGUCAUCGAGUUUAAAUCACUCUUUCGAUUACUUUUGAAAAAUCUAACGUUCCCCAUAUAUAUAUAAAUGUAUGCAUGUAUUUAUGUACGUAUAUGUGUAUGUAAAUUUUUCGAUAUAUCGAAUUAACUCAACGCAAGCUCUCGUUUCAUUCGAGAAACCGCGAAAAUGUAAAUAUGGAAAAAAGAGUACGCAAAAAAAAAUAUAUAUAUAUAUAUGUAUAUAUAUAUAUAUA